UUGCAUGGCAUGUGCAAAGAUCUGCUGUGGAAGCCGGAGCAAGCCCGUUGCCUCCUCUGGGUCACUGUCUCCAUCCUUAUGAGACGGGCCAUAUGAAAUGGUCUCUGAGUCCUCUUCCCACUCUGCUGUCUGCCCAUUAUGGCUGACCCUGCACUCAGAUCCUGGAGAUCCUGGGUAGGGCAGCCCAGGCAAGAACUCUGAGCUCAACUUGGAAGAGAUGAGGACAUUCCUGAGCUCUGCCUCUACGCAGCCUCAGACACCCCCACCCUCUCUCAGCCCAACCUUCCUCUUCUGCCAGGUUCUGGACAAGUGGGGAUGUAACACAGCCUGCUGUAACCACCUUAGCAGGCUGGGCCUGAGCGUCUUCUGUGAGGAAUCCAUCCAACCCAACAGAGAGACACCCUGAAGCCGAGUCCCCCACUUGGUGCAGGGGGCUCAGUGUUCAGCCUUAAGCGCAAGGUGAGGAUCACGUGGGCGUCGGUGGAGCAGACCUGGGAGACCUGGGUCCAAGGAGACACCACCGUGCGGGUUCAUCCAGUGCCAGGACAGGCUGCUCUCAAGGCCCCAUUCUGGUCUCAUCUGAACAAUUUGGGAGAAGGCUGCAGGCACCCAGAGAGGACAGGCUCCAACCCGCCCCAGGAGUGAUGCCUGAGACCAAGGGGAAAGAUGGACAGUGGAUAUUCUGGGCGAGGCAGAGAGCACCACACAGCCCUAGGGUUCCUGUGCUGGUGUGCACUGCAGCUCCAGCUUCGCAGAAUUGCCAAGGAGACCGUGAGCAACCCCACACAGGAUGGUCUCAUCCCGGCUUACACCCCACAGUGCACAUGCAGAGCACAUAUAUGAAGAAUGAAUACACGAAGCCACCAGGAACUCACUCUAUCUGGAUGAGGCUGAAACUUCAGGCUACCUGGCUAAUCAGAGCAUUCCACGGCCUUGAGCUCAGUGAUUGGGCCUGAGGCAGUCACAUGAUCCACAUCAGCCAAUGAGAGGAAGACCUGGGAUUCUUGGCAGAGUUACCAGGAGAGAAAUGCUGCUUUUUCAUGGGGAUUACCUAGCGGUAGAACAUAAGCCUGGAACCAUCAGUGCCCAUCUUCGAGGCUUUCUGCGGGAAGCUCCUGUCUGUGAAUGAAGCCAGAACCAAAGAGAGCAAAGCCAAAAGUUAGAAAUGCAUAUGUAUGCAAGGGUGGUAUUGGAGUCCCUGGACCCAGCCAGGUCUGAAGCCAGCACUACUCCUGGGUUUUUCAGCUACAUGAGCCAAAAAAAAUGUCUGUUUUGAGUAAGCCACUUUGAAUUAGGUUUCUGUCAUUUCCAAAUUAAGUCACCAGGUGUGAGAAUCUUUUUCUAUCUAAAAAAUCACAUUAGGAAAAAAGAGCUUAACAAAGUGGUAAUAGUGGCAGUCACCCACAGACAGCCCUGGGGGCUUGUGGUACAGGGCUGGGCAACAGAUUCAUUUUUUAUUAUGUAUACAGAUUCUCUAAAAAUUUUUUCACCAUUAGAGUGGAUUUUCAAAUUUUUAUAUUUUCAUAUAAAAUUCAAUCAUUUAUAUUCAAGCCAUGUAACUUGUUAUUUAAAGAACAAUAGAAACAAUUUGUUCACUUACCUAAACACAUUUACUUAUUUCUUAAUUAUAGUGUGUAAUUUUAGAAAAUUUGAAAAGUACCAAAAUAUUGUAAAGAAGAUGAUUCCAAGCGUCUGUAAACCCAUCAUGGUUGGCAUUUUUUUUUUGGUCUUUAAUUACUUUUCAUAUUUUUGUUGUUGUUCAAUCUUAUUUAAUUCCUACAGCAACCAUAUGAGGUAAGUACCACCAGUGCCCCAUUUUACAGAGGAUAAAACUGACUUAUAAAGAGGAAAAGUGACUCACUGAAAUUCAGAGCUCCUUUUUUUUCUUAAAGAUCUUAUUUAUUUAGCCAGGAUGGGGGAGGGGAGG